rnacentral:rRNA from 1 species
AAAACUAUUGGGCUAGAGUGUGGGAGAGAAAGAUGGAAUUAGUUGUGUAGGGGUAAAAUCCGUAGAGAUAACUAGGAAUACCAAAAGCGAAGGCAAUCUUCUGGAACACUACUGACGCUGAGGCGCGAAGGCGUGGGGAGCAAACAGGAUUAGAUACCCUGGUAGUCCACGCAGUAAACGAUGAAUGUUAGUCGUCGGGUAGCUAGUCUAUUCGGUGAUGCAGCUAACGCAUUAAACAUUCCGCCUGGGGAGUACGGUCGCAAGAUUAAAACUCAAAGGAAUAGACGGGGACCCGCACAAGUGGUGGAGCAUGUGGUUUAAUUCGAAGAUACGCGAAGAACCUUACCUAGCCUUGGCAUAUAUUAGAACAGACCAGAGAUGGACUGGUGCCUUCGGGAGCUUUUAUACAGGUGCUGCACGGCUGUCGUCAGCUCGUGUCGUGAGAUGUUGGGUUAAGUCCCGUAACGAACGCAACCCCUGUCUUUAGUUGCCAGCAUUAAGUUGGGGACUCUAGAGAGACUGCCAAGGUGACAACUUGGAGGAAGGUGGGGAUGACGUCAAGUCAUCAUGGUCCUUACAUCCAGGGCGAGAAACGUGCUACAAUGGUUGGUACAAUGGGGAGCAAAAUCGCAAGAUUGAGCAAAUCCUCAAAACUAAUCUCAGUUCGGAUUGGAGUCUGCAACCCGACUCCAUGAA